rnacentral:lncRNA from 1 species
CGCCUUUCUCCCCUAAUUCCUCGUACAUGCGACCAAACGUCGCGUUUUUUGCUUCCGUAACCGCCAUCUUUGCUUCAAGUUGGAUAAUCAUUGCUCAAUAAACGAUCAAGAGGACAACCCAAAAUCGAUGUUCAACUGUCUUAAGGCCUACCAGUUUAAAUAUUGAAUCUAGUGUACAUGCUUCCCCAAAUUCUGAGGACACCAUGUGACCAAACAGUCAUGUUCAGUUGCCUGAAGGCCUACAAGUUGACAUUAACUUAGUGUACUCUUUUAUGCACAAUCUAGGACAUCAAAAGGAGGAAAA